rnacentral:rRNA from 1 species
GGCGAGGGGAGUGAAAAAGAACCUGAAACCGUGUACGUACAAGCAGUGGGAGCACAGAGCAAUCUGUGUGACUGCGUACCUUUUGUAUAAUGGGUCAGCGACUUAUAUUCUGUAGCAAGGUUAACCGAAUAGGGGAGCCGAAGGGAAACCGAGUCUUAACUGGGCGUUAAGUUGCAGGGUAUAGACCCGAAACCCGGUGAUCUAGCCAUGGGCAGGUUGAAGGUUGGGUAACACUAACUGGAGGACCGAACCGACUAAUGUUGAAAAAUUAGCGGAUGACUUGUGGCUGGGGGUGAAAGGCCAAUCAAACCGGGAGAUAGCUGGUUCUCCCCGAAAGCUAUUUAGGUAGCGCCUCGUGAAUUCAUCUCCGGGGGUAGAGCACUGUUUCGGCAAGGGGGUCAUCCCGACUUACCAACCCGAUGCAAACUGCGAAUACCGGAGAAUGUUAUCACGGGAGACACACGGCGGGUGCUAACGUCCGUCGUGAAGAGGGAAACAACCCAGACCGCCAGCUAAGGUCCCAAAGUCAUGGUUAAGUGGGAAACGAUGUGGGAAGGCCCAGACAGCCAGGAUGUUGGCUUAGAAGCAGCCAUCAUUUAAAGAAAGCGUAAUAGCUCACUGGUCGAGUCGGCCUGCGCGGAAGAUGUAACGGGGCUAAACCAUGCACCGAAGCUGCGGCAGCGACGCUUAUGCGUUGUUGGGUAGGGGAGCGUUCUG